rnacentral:tRNA from 1 species
GCCAGCGUCGCAUAGUCCGGUAUUGCGCAAGCCUGGAAAGCUUGUCCCUUCUGGGAUCCCCGGUUCAAAUCCGGGCGCUGGCG